GUGCCAGCCGCUGCGGUAAUACGUAGGUGGCAAGCGUUGUCCGGAUUUAUUGGGCGUAAAGGGAACGCAGGCGGUCUUUUAAGUCUGAUGUGAAAGCCUUCGGCUUAACCGAAGUCGUGCAUUGGAAACUGGGAGACUUGAGUGCAGAAGAGGAGAGUGGAACUCCAUGUGUAGCGGUGAAAUGCGUAGAUAUAUGGAAGACACCAGUGGCGAAAGCGGCUCUCUGGUCUGUAACUGACGCUGAGGUUCGAAAGCGUGGGUAGCAAACAGGAUUAGAUACCCUGGUAGUCCACGCUGUAAACGAUGAAUGCUAAGUGUUGAGGUUUCGCCUUCAGUGCCGCAGCAAACGCAUUAAGCAUUCCGCCUGGGGAGUACGACCGCAAGGUUGAAACUCAAAGGAAUUGACGGGGGCCCGCACAAGCGGUGGAGCAUGUGGUUUAAUUCGAAGCAACGCGAAGAACCUUACCAGGUCUUGACAUCUUCUGAUAACCUAAGAGAUUAAGGUGUUCCCUUCGGGGACAGGAAUGAACG
rnacentral:rRNA from 1 species